UACGUAGGCAGCAAGCGUUGUUCGGAGUUACUGGGCGUAAAGAGUAUGUAGGCGGUUGCGUAAGUUCGGUGUGAAAUCUCCCGCUUAACUGGGAGGGUGCGCCGAAAACUGCGUGGCUAGAGUGCGGGAGAGGAGAGCGGAAUUCCUGGUGUAGCGGUGAAAUGCGUAGAUAUCAGGAGGAACACCGGCGGUGUAGACGGCUCUCUGGACCGUUACUGACGCUGAGAUACGAAAGCGUGGGUAGCAAACAGG
rnacentral:rRNA from 1 species